GGCAGUUCUCAGGUGAUGCAUCCCCGGAAUCAGGCUCCCAACUCUCUGGUUCCAGGGUGCCUCAUCUGCUGCU
rfam:Myotis brandtii contig278201, whole genome shotgun sequence.